rnacentral:misc_RNA from 1 species
GAGUUCGCGGGAGAGUAAGUUAUUGCCAGGGUUUUUAUUUUAUACUUUAAACCUUGAAUUUAUUUUUUAAAUGUUUAUAUUAUUUGAAUAAAACAUUCAAAUAAUAUAAAAAAUAAUAUAUAUAUUGACAUGGAUUAAACAAAGAUAUAUAUUAUUCUAUGUUGCAUAAACAAAUUGGCAAAAUAGAGAUGGAAGAUAAAAAUAUGGUCAAAGUAAUAAGAGUCUAUGGUGAAUGCC